rnacentral:rRNA from 1 species
UGGGGAAUUUUGGACAAUGGGGGCAACCCUGAUCCAGCAAUGCCGCGUGUGUGAAGAAGGCCUUCGGGUUGUAAAGCACUUUUGUCCGGGAAGAAAUCGCACCUGAUAAUACCGGGUGUGGAUGACGGUACCGGAAGAAUAAGGACCGGCUAACUACGUGCCAGCAGCCGCGGUAAUACGUAGGGUCCAAGCGUUCAUCGGAAUUACUGGGCGUAAAGCGUGCGCAGGCGGUUGUGCAAGACCGAUGUGAAAUCCCCGGGCUUAACCUGGGAAUUGCAUUGGUGACUGCACGGCUAGAGUGUGUCAGAGGGGGGUAGAAUUCCACGUGUAGCAGUGAAAUGCGUAGAGAUGUGGAGGAAUACCGAUGGCGAAGGCAGCCCCCUGGGAUAACACUGACGCUCAUGCACGAAAGCGUGGGGAGCAAACAGG